rnacentral:lncRNA from 1 species
GUACACUGUAGCUGUCUUCAGACACACCAGAAGAGGGAAUCGGAUCUCUUUACAGAUGGUUGUGAGCCACCAUGUGGUUGCUGGGAAUUGAACUCAGGGCCUCUGGAAGAGCAGUCAGUGCUCUUAACCUCUGAGCCAUGUCUCCAGCCCCCUUGCCUCAGAUUUAUAUCUCAUCACAUCUGCCUGCACUGCUGGCCUAAGCCAGGCUAUUCUGUAUAUUCAUGAUGGCUACUAUAAAGUCUUAAAAUCAGUUCAAAGUUUUUCAUUGUGAGGCUUACAUUUUAGUUAAGUAUAAAAGUUUCUAAGACGUGUUGGGGUAAUGGUAAAUACUUAUGAGUAUUUACUGUAAUUCCAGAGGCCCCAAAUUUGGUUUCCAGCACCCACAUAGUGGCUCACAACUACCCAUAAUUCCAGUUCCAAGGGAUUUGAUCUCCUGACUUCCACAAGCAUUUGACACACACAUCGUUCAGCAUGCAAAACAUUGGCGCACAUGAAAUAAGUCAUUUAAAAAUGUGUAAGAAACAAGGUCUCUUCCCACAAUAAAAUCAACUUCCACGGUAGCAAAACAUUUGCUGCUGUGGAUCGGUUGCUUGUAUUUCAAUCCAGAGGGCAGAGUCACACUAAGUGCCAUUCAUGGUUGGAACUCAGCAAGUAGGGUUCAGAUUUAGCUCCAUUUCUUGAACAUCUACCUUGCAAAAGGAGCUACAUGGCCUUAGUUAUACUCAUGUGCAGAAAGACCCAAUAUUUAGAAGACAUCAGUGAGCUUGUAGUUCAGUGUGGACUGCAAAGGAGGGCGGUGACUGCCAGGGGAAGAACAACGGACAAACCAUCUUAGGGAUGUUCAGAUAGUGGCUGGAGAUAAAGGACAAGAGUUUGAAGACAAUGGAAAACUGAGAAAUACUGAUAACCAUUCCUAAGUUUAAAUU